rnacentral:rRNA from 1 species
GGAUCAAUUUACUGGUCGUGCCUACGGUACGUACUGGUUUUGUUGAUUCCUCUCUUCUGAGGAGCCGUGAUGUCAUUAACUUGGUGUCGCGGGGAACCAGGACUGUUACUUUGAAAAAAUUAGAGUGUUCAAAGCAGGCCUUUGCCCGAAUACAUUAGCAUGGCAUAAUAAAAUAGGACGUGCGGUUCUAUUUUGUUGGUUUCUAGAGUCGCCGUA